AGAGAGAUAGCUCACUGGGUAGAGCGCCUGUCUUGCCAUUCACAUAGUCCAGGCUUCUUGAACACUCACACCACACAGGAGAUGCAGAGGCAUUAGAAGCAACACUGGGGCUGUGUGGGUUCUCCCUCUCUCUCUC
rnacentral:tRNA from 1 species